UGAUAUGGUUUGGCUGUGCCCCAUCCAAAUCCCACCUUGAAUGGUAGCUCCCACAAUUGCCACGUGUCGUGGGAGGAACCUGUGAAAGAUAAUUGCAU